rnacentral:rRNA from 1 species
ACGGCAGCACGGGAGCAAUCCUGGUGGCGAGUGGCGAACGGGUGAGUAAUAUAUCGGAACGUGCCCAGUCGUGGGGGAUAACGCAGCGAAAGCUGUGCUAAUACCGCAUACGAUCUACGGAUGAAAGCGGGGGAUCGCAAGACCUCGCGCGAUUGGAGCGGCCGAUAUCAGAUUAGCUAGUUGGUGGGGUAAAAGCCCACCAAGGCGACGAUCUGUAGCUGGUCUGAGAGGACGACCAGCCACACUGGAACUGAGACACGGUCCAGACUCCUACGGGAGGCAGCAGUGGGGAAUUUUGGACAAUGGGCGCAAGCCUGAUCCAGCAAUGCCGCGUGCAGGAUGAAGGCCUUCGGGUUGUAAACUGCUUUUGUACGGAGCGAAACGGCUUCCCCAAAUACGGGGAGCUAAUGACGGUACCGUAAGAAUAAGCACCGGCUAACUACGUGCCAGCAGCCGCGGUAAUACGUAGGGUGCGAGCGUUAAUCGGAAUUACUGGGCGUAAAGCGUGCGCAGGCGGUUAUAUAAGACAGAUGUGAAAUCCCCGGGCUCAACCUGGGACCUGCAUUUGUGACUGUAUAGCUAGAGUACGGUAGAGGGGGAUGGAAUUCCGCGUGUAGCAGUGAAAUGCGUAGAUAUGCGGAGGAACACCGAUGGCGAAGGCAAUCCCCUGGACCUGUACUGACGCUCAUGCACGAAAGCGUGGGGAGCAAACAGGAUUAGAUACCCUGGUAGUCCACGCCCUAAACGAUGUCAACUGGUUGUUGGGUCUUCACUGACUCAGUAACGAAGCU